AUUGAACGCUGGCGGCAGGCCUAACACAUGCAAGUCGAACGAGUGGCGGACGGGUGAGUAAUGCCUGGGAAACUGCCUGAUGGAGGGGGAUAACUUCUGGAAACGGUAGCUAAUACCGCAUACCCUCAGAUGCGCCCAGAUGGGAUUAGCUUGUUGGUGGGGUAAUGGCUCACCAAGGCGACGACCCCUAGCUGGUCUGAGAGGCUGACCAACCGCUCUGGAACUGAGACACGGUCCAGACUCCUACGAGAGGCAGCAGUGGGGAAUAUUGCACAGUGGGCGCAAGCCUGAUGCAGCCAUGCCGCGUGUAUGAAGAAGGCCUUCGGGUUGUAAAGUACUUUCAGCGGGGAGGCGUUACCCGCAGAAGAAGCACGGGCUAACUCCGUGCCAGCAGCCGCGGUAAUUC
rnacentral:rRNA from 1 species